GGGCUAAUGGUCCAGAGGUACGACGCUUGCUUUGGGUAUUGCACAUCUGCAAGUGACCUGGGUUCGAUUCCCGGUUGGCCCC